GACGAACGCUGGCGGCGUGCCUAAUACAUGCAAGUCGAACGCUUCUUUCCUCCCGAGUGCUUGCACUCAAUUGGAAAGCGGAGUGGCGGACGGGUGAGUAACACGUGGGUAACCUACCCAUCAGAGGGGGAUAACACUUGGAAACAGGUGCUAAUACCGCAUAACAGUUUAUGCCGCAUGGCAUAAGAGUGAAAGGCGCUUUCGGGUGUCGCUGAUGGAUGGACCCGCGGUGCAUUAGCUAGUUGGUAAGGUAACGGCUCACCAAGGCCACGAUGCAUAGCCGACCUGAGAGGGUGAUCGGCCACACUGGGACUGAGACACGGCCCAGACUCCUACGGGAGGCAGCAGUAGGGAAUCUUCGGCAAUGGACGAGAGUCUGACCGAGCAACGCCGCGUGAGUGAAGAAGGUUUUCGGAUCGUAAAACUCUGUUGUUAGAGAAGAACAAGGACGUUAGUAACUGAACGUCCCCUGACGGUAUCUAACCAGAAAGCCACGGCUAACUACGUG
rnacentral:rRNA from 1 species